GGCUCUUCAUCAUGCUUUACCUGUGGCCACAUUUGAGGAAACUGAAUUUUAUUACAAAUGGAGGAGCAUUCCGGAUAUAAACGAAG